rnacentral:rRNA from 1 species
AGAGUUUGAUCAUGGCUCAGAUUGAACGCUGGCGGCAGGCCUAACACAUGCAAGUCGAGCGGUAGCACAGAGAGCUUGCUCUCGGGUGACGAGCGGCGGACGGGUGAGUAAUGUCUGGGAAACUGCCUGAUGGAGGGGGAUAACUACUGGAAACGGUAGCUAAUACCGCAUAAUGUCGCAAGACCAAAGUGGGGGACCUUCGGGCCUCAUGCCAUCAGAUGUGCCCAGAUGGGAUUAGCUAGUAGGUGGGGUAACGGCUCACCUAGGCGACGAUCCCUAGCUGGUCUGAGAGGAUGACCAGCCACACUGGAACUGAGACACGGUCCAGACUCCUACGGGAGGCAGCAGUGGGGAAUAUUGCACAAUGGGCGCAAGCCUGAUGCAGCCAUGCCGCGUGUGUGAAGAAGGCCUUCGGGUUGUAAAGCACUUUCAGCGGGGAGGAAGGCGNNCGAUUGACGUUACCCGCAGAAGAAGCACCGGCUAACUCCGUGCCAGCAGCCGCGGUAAUACGGAGGGUGCAAGCGUUAAUCGGAAUUACUGGGCGUAAAGCGCACGCAGGCGGUCUGUCAAGUCGGAUGUGAAAUCCCCGGGCUCAACCUGGGAACUGCAUUCGAAACUGGCAGGCUAGAGUCUUGUAGAGGGGGGUAGAAUUCCAGGUGUAGCGGUGAAAUGCGUAGAGAUCUGGAGGAAUACCGGUGGCGAAGGCGGCCCCCUGGACAAAGACUGACGCUCAGGUGCGAAAGCGUGGGGAGCAAACAGGAUUAGAUACCCUGGUAGUCCACGCCGUAAACGAUGUCGAUUUGGAGGUUGUGCCCUUGAGGCGUGGCUUCCGGAGCUAACGCGUUAAAUCGACCGCCUGGGGAGUACGGCCGCAAGGUUAAAACUCAAAUGAAUUGACGGGGGCCCGCACAAGCGGUGGAGCAUGUGGUUUAAUUCGAUGCAACGCGAAGAACCUUACCUGGUCUUGACAUCCACAGAACUUUCCAGAGAUGGAUUGGUGCCUUCGGGAACUGUGAGACAGGUGCUGCAUGGCUGUCGUCAGCUCGUGUUGUGAAAUGUUGGGUUAAGUCCCGCAACGAGCGCAACCCUUAUCCUUUGUUGCCAGCGGUUAGGCCGGGAACUCAAAGGAGACUGCCAGUGAUAAACUGGAGGAAGGUGGGGAUGACGUCAAGUCAUCAUGGCCCUUACGACCAGGGCUACACACGUGCUACAAUGGCAUAUACAAAGAGAAGCGACCUCGCGAGAGCAAGCGGACCUCAUAAAGUAUGUCGUAGUCCGGAUUGGAGUCUGCAACUCGACUCCAUGAAGUCGGAAUCGCUAGUAAUCGUAGAUCAGAAUGCUACGGUGAAUACGUUCCCGGGCCUUGUACACACCGCCCGUCACACCAUGGGAGUGGGUUGCAAAAGAAGUAGGUAGCUUAACCUUCGGGAGGGCGCUUACCACUUUGUGAUUCAUGACUGGGGUGAAGUCGUAACAAGGUAACCGUAGGGGAACCUGCGGUUG